rnacentral:tRNA from 1 species
AAAAAGGUAAGCUAACUAAGCUUUUGGGCUCAUACCCCGCAAAUAGAAGUGAAGCCUUCUUCUUUUUA